UACAGAGGGUGCAAGCGUUGCUCGGAUUUACUGGGAGUAAAGCGUACGCAGACGGUGAGGAAGGUCGGAUGUGAAAGCCCCGGGCUCAACCCGGGAACUGCAUCCGAAACCAUCUCGCUAGAGUAUGGGAGAGGGAAGCGGAAUUCCUGGUGUAGAGGUGAAAUUCGUAGAUAUCAGGAGGAACAUCUGCGGCGAAGGCGGCUUCCUGGCCCAUUACUGACGUUCAGGUACGAAGCGUGGGUAGCAAACAGG
rnacentral:rRNA from 1 species